ACGGCCAUACCAUGCUGAAUAUACCGGUUCUCGUUAGAUCACCGAAGUCAAGCAUCAUUGGGCGCGGUCAGUACUUGGGUGUGUGACCAACUGGGAAUACCGCGUGCCGUUU
rnacentral:rRNA from 1 species